ACUAUUUGUAUUAAUCAGUAUCUUACCAUAUAUAUGAGUAUAUGAGAAAUCAAAUUGAAAACGGAGAAGUACAGGAAAUGAAGAAACAGAGUGACUCAGAUAUCAGCAACACAGGAAAUGUACCAUGAGAGACACAAGGGAGCAAGGGAGGGGUAUUUUUAUGGGACUAUAGGGCUGGGGAAUUUGAAACUCCAGUUGGCCUCUCUUGCCAUGAAGUCAUGCUAGAGACACAGCCCAAGGGAGAAACAGAGACAUUUGGGCUUAGAUCUGUACUCAUGGUGAAUUGGACCCUUCAUAGGCAACAGAAGAUGCUUAUAUAUAACAUCAAAGUUUAAAGGAGCAGCCUACCCAGAGCAUCACUGUUUGGUGGGGACAAGACAGAAAAUGAGAGGGGCCAAGGAAUGAGAAAGUAUAAGAAGACUCUCUGAUGCAGUGAAAAAAGGCAUUAUUUAAGAUGGUGUUUCCCUUGUAUAGGGGACCCUAGAAGAUGUUAUAUACCAAGAAAACUCACUACACUGCCAGCCUUUAGAGAAGAAAUUGAAAAUACAUAUUCGGCAAUCUCAAUGACCAAAGUUACCCAAGCAGCAGUUGGUUAUACUAAUAAAUGUCUGGAAGAUAAUGGCCAUCACUUUGAGCACCUCUUGUAAUUGUAGAGGCCAAACAUAACUUGUAUCUCAUAAUACCUCAA